UACGGGGGGUGCAAGCGUUGUUCGGAAUCACUGGGCGUAAAGCGCGUGUAGGUGGAUGGUUAAGUCAGAUGUGAAAUCCCACGGCUCAACUGUGGACGUGCAUUUGAAACUGGCCAUCUAGAGUAAGGUAGAGGGAAGGGGAAUUCCCGGUGUAGAGGUGAAAUUCGUAGAUAUCGGGAGGAAUACCAGUGGCGAAGGCGCCUUCCUGGGCCUUUACUGACACUGAGACGCGAAAGCGUGGGGAGCAAACAGG
rnacentral:rRNA from 1 species